rnacentral:rRNA from 1 species
UACGGGGGGGGCAAGCGUUGUUCGGAAUUACUGGGCGUAAAGGGCUCGUAGGCGGCCAACUAAGUCAGACGUGAAACCCCUCGGCUUAACCGGGGAACUGCGUCUGAUACUGGAUGGCUUGAAUCCGGGAGAGGGAUGCGGAAUUCCAGGUGUAGCGGUGAAAUGCGUAGAUAUUGGGAGGAACACCAGUGGCGAAGGCGGCUACCUGGACCGGUACUGACGCUGAUGCGCGAAAGCGUGGGUAGCAAACAGG